rnacentral:misc_RNA from 1 species
UCCCCGUUAUCCGGGGCGGUUUCACUAGAGUGCCCAGCUUGACCUGAUGGCAACUAGGGAUAAGGGUUGCGCUCGUUGCGGGACUUAACCCAACAUCUCACGACACGAGCUGACGACAGCCAUGCAGCACCUCCGCAGCAGUUCUUGCGAAAAGGGAUAUUUCUACCCCGGUCCACUGCGCUUCGAGCCCAGGUAAGGUGGGGAUGACGUGUCCUUGAUAGG